UUAAAAAUAUGGAAGAAAAGGCUAUGAAUUCAAGGAGCUAUAGAUGUCUUUGAAUCCAUAUCCUACAAACUGUCUUGGUUUCUUUGUUUUCUAUCAGUUUACCCACAUACUAAGGCUUCAUAGAUCAAAACUAUAUUCUAAUCUGAAAGAGAGCAAUGAUCUUCUAGAAAUAAUAUUCUCUGGUUCUGUUUAGGCUGAAGAAGUAUUUGAAGAAACAUCACUUCAACUGGACCAAAAAAAAGUUCAUUGUAUCCAGCUGUUAAAGGACAGUAGAGAAAGUUGUCUGGAUACUCUGAAUGCCAAAUGGAGAAAAAUCCCUUAUCUGUAAACUUACAGACAGAGAAUAUUUGUCCAUGUCUGAGAGUUGGUGUACUGAAAAAAAGUAAGAACAUGACAUCAGCCAAGCCAUAGAAGAUUGUAUGAGAUAACAAUCUGGGAAAAAUAAGAACACAAAAGCCAAAUAUGGACCUCCAGAGUAACAGACACAAACAAACAAGGUUCAAAUUAAAGCCUCUAGUGGCUAACAUUGGUUGUCAACUAGACACACUUGUGAAGAAAACUCAACUAAUAAACAGCCUGUAGUAGGCUGGCCUCACAGACGUUUCCUUGAUUGCUAAUGGAGAAGAAUUACCUAGCCUGCUAAGAACAUCUCAGGGCAGGCUGACCUGAGCUGGAUAACAAAGAUGACAGCCUACUAAUGAUGUAAAUUUGAUUAAGUAAGAACAUGUGCCAUAUGGAGUAAUUGACAAUGUUUGCAAUAUUGAUGAGGAACCUCAAUCCAAUCAAUGUGGUGUGUUUACUAAUUCCCUGCAGGCCUCCAACAGCCAAAGAAGAAAUAAGGGAAUGGGGUUGAGGAGCAAGGUGACAAGAUGUUCCAAAAAUAAGCAAAAGACAUGAAAAACAAUAUUCUCUGGCAGCAGUUCUUGAGUGGGACAUUCAGCUCAUGAAUUUCAUGGUAUUUAAUUUUCCCAGAAAAGAGUUAAAAUCAAUGUUGGUAAUAUUUAAGGAAAAGCUUUUCUUCAUGUGAUACAAAGAUUAUAAUAAAGAGCAUCAAUGAUUAACAACUCAACAUCUACACAAGACUGGGCCUGUCAAGACCCUGCUUUGAAUGGAAAAAUGGGCUCAUGGGAUC